rnacentral:rRNA from 1 species
GUGCCAGCAGCCGCGGUAAUACGGAGGAUGCAAGCGUUAUCCGGAAUUAUUGGGCGUAAAGCGUCCGCAGGUGGUUGGUCAAGUCUGCUGUCAAAGCGUGGAGCUUAACUCCAUAAGGGCGGUGGAAACUGAUUAACUAGAGGAUGGUAGGGGUCACGGGAAUUCCCAGUGUAGCGGUGAAAUGCGUAGAUAUUGGGAAGAACACCAGCGGCGAAAGCGCGUGACUGGGCCAUUACUGACACUCAUGGACGAAAGCUAGGGGAGCGAAAGGGAUUAGAUACCCCUGUAGUCC